AAGCUUUCAGGAGGGAGGAGGAAUAGGAGGGUUGUANCUGGUUCCUGAGGAACAUGUGCACACUUGUUGCCUCUCUCUCUUUUGCUUGUUUCUUCAUUUUCUUCUCCACUUGUGCACUGUUUGUANACAANCCCCCUGGGUGUCUCUCACAGGGUUUGUCUAUGAUUUUAUUUACACAAUUUUUUAUAUGAAAGAACCANAAUGUGAUUAAAAAGAAGUAAAAUACAACUUUCAACAACGGAUCUCUUGGCUCUCGCAUCGAUGAANAACGCANCGAAAUGCGAUAAGUAAUGUGAAUUGCAAAAUUCANUGAAUCAUCGAAUCUUUGAACGCAUCUUGCGCUCCUUGGUAUUCUGAGGAGCAUGCCUGUUUGAGUGUCAUUAAAUUCUGUCAAAACCACACAGCAUGGCUUUUGUUUGUUUGUGUGUGUGUGUUUUGGAAUGUGGGAGUGUCUGCUGGCCCUUUUCUUUCAAAGGCCCANCUCUCCUGAAAGAUAGAUGGAUGAAGAUAGAUAUAU
rnacentral:rRNA from 1 species